UACGUAGGGUGCGAGCGUUGUCCGGAAUUAUUGGGCGUAAAGGGCUCGUAGGCGGUUUGUCGCGUCGGGAGUGAAAUCCACUGGCUUAACUGGUGGCUUGCUUUCGAUACGGGCAGACUGGAGGUAUGCAGGGGAGAACGGAAUUCCAGGUGUAGCGGUGAAAUGCGUAGAUAUCUGGAGGAACACCGGUGGCGAAGGCGGCAUCCUGGACCGAUACUGACGCUGAGGAGCGAAAGCCAGGGGAGCAAACAGG
rnacentral:rRNA from 1 species